AACGAACGCUGGCGGCAUGCCUAACACAUGCAAGUCGAACGAGACCUUCGGGUCUAGUGGCGCACGGGUGCGUAACGCGUGGGAACCUGCCCUUAGGUUCGGAAUAACUCAGAGAAAUUUGAGCUAAUACCGGAUAAUGUCUUCGGACCAAAGAUUUAUCGCCUUUGGAUGGGCCCGCGUAGGAUUAGCUUGUUGGUGGGGUAAUGGCCUACCAAGGCGACGAUCCUUAGCUGGUCUGAGAGGAUGAUCAGCCACACUGGGACUGAGACACGGCCCAGACUCCUACGGGAGGCAGCAGUGGGGAAUAUUGGACAAUGGGCGAAAGCCUGAUCCAGCAAUGCCGCGUGAGUGAUGAAGGCCUUAGGGUUGUAAAGCUCUUUUACCAGGGAUGAUAAUGACAGUACCUGGAGAAUAAGCUCCGGCUAACUCCGUGCCAGCAGCCGCAGUAAAAC
rnacentral:rRNA from 1 species